GCCAAGGGAGGGCCCAGACCGAAGAAGGUUUGGUGGAUAGCAGAACCUUUUUGUCUCCCUCUAAUUGCUCCUAAGCCUCACGCUCCCUUGCCCCGCGUGUCCUGUUGCUUCCCUGAUCUUCUCCGUGACCUGUAGCUAAACCUUCCACCAGCGCUUGAGAACUUAAUUUGUACCGGAUCCUUUCCCAGACCCCUUUCUUCUCCUCCUCCUCCACCUCCUCCAGGUGCCCAACAGCCCCCUUCUCCUUUCCCUUCCCUUACUUCCCUCCUUCCCCUCCCCUUCCCCUCCCCCUCCCCUCCCCCUCCCCAACUCAGAUCCGGCCCCGGUCCCCGUCCCCUUCCCUCCCCCCUGCCCUAAGCCACCUCCACCUCUGUCCUGGCCGCCUCAGGGCGCCCUGAAAGGACCAGGACAUGCGGCUGCGGUGGUGGCUCCUCUUUUGGCUCCUGCUGGGAUUUAUCAGCCAUCAUCCUACCCCUAGACGGGGUUUCACCAUGUUCGCCAGGAUGGUCUCCAUCUCUUGACCUCGUGAUCUGCCUGCCUCGGCCUCCCAGUGCUGGGAUUACAGGCGUGAGCCACCGCGCCUGGCCAAAAUAUAUAACCUUAAGUGUAAGUUUACUAACUUUGG
rnacentral:lncRNA from 1 species